GGCCCUGUGGCUUAGUCUGGUUAAAGCACUGGUCUUAUAAGCCAGAGAUCCCGGGUUCAAAUCCCGGCAGGGCCA
rnacentral:tRNA from 1 species